CGUAUUGGAGGUAGAGCACUGAUUGGACUAGGGGUCCUCAUCGGAUUACCGAAUUCAGUCAAACGCCGAAUGCCAAUGACUUAUCCUUAGGAGUCAGACUGCGAGUGAUAAGAUCCGUAGUCAAAAGGGAAACAGCCCAGACCGCCAGCUAAGGUCCCAAAGUGUGUAUUAAGUGGAAAAGGAUGUGGAGUUGCUUAGACAACUAGGAUGUUGGCUUAGAAGCAGCCACCAUUUAAAGAGUGCGUAAUAGCUCACUAGUCGAGUGACUCUGCGCCGAAAAUGUACCGGGGCUAAAUACACCACCGAAGCUGCGGAUUGAUACCAAUGGUAUCAGUGGUAGGGGAGCGUUCUAAGGACAGUGAAGUCAGACCGGAAGGACUGGUGGAGUGCUUAGAAGUGAGAAUGCCGGUAUGAGUAGCGAAAGACGGGUGAGAAUCCCGUCCACCGAAUGCCUAAGGUUUCCUGAGGAAGGCUCGUCCGCUCAGGGUUAGUCAGGACCUAAGCCGAGGCCGACAGGCGUAGGCGAUGGACAACAGGUUGAUAUUCCUGUACCACCUCUUUAUCGUUUGAGCAAUGGAGGGACGCAGAAGGAUAGAAGAAGCGUGCGAUUGGUUGUGCACGUCCAAGCAGUUAGGCUGAUAAGUAGGCAAAUCCGCUUAUCGUGAAGGCUGAGCUGUGAUGGGGAAGCUCCUUAUGGAGCGAAGUCUUUGAUUCCCCGCUGCCAAGAAAAGCUUCUAGCGAGAUAAAAGGUGCCUGUACCGCAAACCGACACAGGUAGAUGAGGAGAGAAUCCUAAGGUGUGCGAGAGAACUCUGGUUAAGGAACUCGGCAAAAUGACCCCGUAACUUCGGGAGAAGGGGUGCUUUCUUAACGGAAAGCCGCAGUGAAUAGGCCCAAGCGACUGUUUAGCAAAAACACAGCUCUCUGCGAAGCCGUAAGGCGAAGUAUAGGGGGUGACACCUGCCCGGUGCUGGAAGGUUAAGGAGAGGGGUUAGCGUAAGCGAAGCUCUGAACUGAAGCCCCAGUAAACGGCGGCCGUAACUAUAACGGUCCUAAGGUAGCGAAAUUCCUUGUCGGGUAAGUUCCGACCCGCACGAAAGGUGUAACGAUUUGGGCACUGUCUCAACCAGAGACUCGGUGAAAUUAUAGUACCUGUGAAGAUGCAGGUUACCCGCGACAGGACGGAAAGACCCCGUGGAGCUUUACUGUAGCCUGAUAUUGAAUUUUGGUACAGUUUGUACAGGAUAGGCGGGAGCCUUUGAAGCCGGAGCGCUAGCUUCGGUGGAGGUGCUGGUGGGAUACCGCCCUGACUGUAUUGUAAUUCUAACCUACGGGUCUUAUCGACCCGGGAGACCGUGGCCGGUGGGCCG
rnacentral:rRNA from 1 species